AGAUGGUUCAGCUCGUGGUUAGUGAACUUCCCACAGCAGCGGGAGCAGGAACCCACUUCCCUCAGGCUGCCCUCAGAACCCAGUGUUAGUGGAGGUGGGGAGCUAACCCCAGUGGCAUCAAAGGGAGACAGGUGUUUUCUGUACUAGACAACCUCAGCAGGCACCUAAACACUUCCAAAAGUGGAAUUCUGGGUUUCAGCAAAGUGCCAGUUAUAGCUGAAAGGGUGCUGCAAACACCCUGGUGGCUGUGCAGUGCCUCGCUGUGUGGGGAAUGGAGGCACAUCCACCCCUGAACUGGAGAGGAUUCAGCUCCAAGCCAUCCAUUUUCCACACCCUCACAUGCCUCAAAGCAUUUCUGCAGUGCUUCAUGGGCUCCAAAUGCAUGGCAGGAACAGUCCUCUGAAGUUCAUGUCCAAAUGACAAAAAAUCCCCACAACAUUUAUUACAUAUACUUUAAGUAUCCCCCUCCACUGGCAAUUUCAAAGGUUCCUCAUAAGCUUUGCAAAUCAAGUUUAAUUUAUUUUUCCUGCAGAGAUAUACCCAUCAUGGGGGCAGAAGGUGGCCAAAGUUGAUGUCCAUAAGAAGAAAGGCAUCUUCUACAUUGAAUUAAGUCUGGAUGGAAAUUCAGAUAUGAAAACUAUGGAGUUCCUGGUUUGGCCUUGUACUGCUGAAUUCUAUUUUUAUCUCAACUGGUUUGGGCUUUUAUUUCAGUCACUUUAACUGUUGGGAUGACGCUCUCUGCCUGCUAUGCUAGAGAUUCAGAUCCUUGCACUCCCGAUGCUCCACCUGCUGCCACUUCACCACCAACUUCUGAAGAGCCUGGACCUUUCACAGCUCCAGCAUCACCCUCCUGUUCCUCUGACACCGGCACUGCAUCAUUUUCACCACCGUUACCCGCGUGUGUUGCAGCCUUACAUCCAAAACCUCCUCCUAUUUCACCAUCCACUUCUGCUGCCACUGUUCACUCUGGACUUCCUUCUCUCCCUGCCCCGCCUGCCUCUACUCCAUCCCUGCACCCUGGGAUUUAUCUGCCCGUUGUCCCACCCAGUGGUGCCACCCACCUCAUCAACUGGCUGCCCUUCCUCGCCUCAGCCACGCUUGCCACCAUCCAAGGCAAGGAGGAAGACCAGCCACCCAUAAGCACAGGCUCCCUGGAAGGCAUGAAGCCCUGCAGCAGCCCAGCCCCACACCCUUCCCAAGAGGAGAAUCCCCAGGCAGCAGCUCUGGGAAGCAGCGCUCCGGGGGCUGCGUCCCCACCACCAGCGGUGCCCGCGGGCUCCGAGGCGUCCGCGAACGUCAGCGACAUCCUGGCGGAGCUGCGGACCAUGAACAGCCACCUCUCCACCAUUGCCCGAGCCCUCACCCAGCUGGCAUCGUCCCUGGCACCCCAGCAGGAUGCUGGUGGCACCCCACCUCCUUAGUGCCAGGUUUCACAGGGAGUGGUGCUGCCCAGAGGAAAGGGACCCUCCCCAAACCUGCCCACGCCACUGGAGCAAGCUCGCUGCAGUCGCAGACGCCGACCACGUCUCCCCAGUGGGUUUUUCCUGUCAGUUUGUUUGUUUGCCCCUUGUAAAUGGCUGCAUAUAUUAAAAAAUAGUUUUGUGGUCUUGUUAAUAAAAUUGUUUAUGUUUCUGGCGUUCCUUUUGGA
ensembl:lncRNA